GACGAACGCUGGCGGCGUGCUUAACACAUGCAAGUCGAGCGGUAAGGCCCUUUCGGGGGUACACGAGCGGCGAACGGGUGAGUAACACGUGGGUGACCUGCCCUCAGCUCUGGGAUAAGCCUGGGAAACCGGGUCUAAUACCGGAUAUGACUCCAUGACGCAUGUUGUGGGGUGGAAAGCCUUGUGCGGCUGAGGAUGGGCCCGCGGCCUAUCAGCUUGUUGGUGGGGUGAUGGCCUACCAAGGCGACGACGGGUAGCCGGCCUGAGAGGGCGACCGGCCACACUGGGACUGAGACACGGCCCAGACUCCUACGGGAGGGCAGCAGUGGGGAAGUCUUGCGCAAUGGGCGAAAGCCUGACGCAGCGACGCCGCGUGAGGGAUGACGGCCUCGG
rnacentral:rRNA from 1 species